rnacentral:rRNA from 1 species
UGUAAGCGUAUACCAAAGUUGUUGCAGUUAAAACGCUCGUAGUCGGAAUUUGGCAGUUCCGGAUGUGUGCACGUCGUGUGCGCACUUCGCGGGGAUUGCUUUUGUGGUCUUGCGUAGGAUGAGGCACUUUUAUUAGUGAACGUCCUCACGCAACCACUUUUUACUGUGAGAAAAUCAGAGUGCUCAAAGCAGGCAUUUGCCGUGAAUGUAUUAGCAUGGAAUAAUAGAAUAGGACUUGGUUCUAUUUUGUUGGUUUGUUGGGACUGAGUAAUGAUUAAGAGGGACAGUUGGGGGCAUUUGUAUUUCGGUGCUAGAGGUGAAAUGCUUAGAUUACCGAAAGACAAACUGCUGCGAAAGCGUCUGCCAAGGAUGUUUUCAUUGA